rnacentral:rRNA from 1 species
GAUGAACGCUAGCGAUAGGCCUAACACAUGCAAGUCGAGGGGCAUCACAUGAAGUAGCAAUACGGAUGGUGGCGACCGGCGCACGGGUGAGUAACACGUAUGCAACCUGCCUUCAACAAGGGGAUAACCCGUUGAAAGACGGACUAAUACCCCUAUAACACAGGGGUCCCGCAUGGGAAUAUUUGUUAAAGGACAACCGGUUGAAGAUGGGCAUGCGUUCCAUUAGCUAGUUGGCGGGGUAACGGCCCACCAAGGCAACGAUGGAUAGGGGAACUGAGAGGUUUAUCCCCCACACUGGUACUGAGACACGGACCAGACUCCUACGGGAGGCAGCAGUGAGGAAUAUUGGUCAAUGGACGCAAGUCUGAACCAGCCACGUCGCGUGAAGGAAGACGGCCCUACGGGUUGUAAACUUCUUUUAUACGGGAAUAAAGUGCCCCACGCGUGGGGUUUUGCAUGUACCGUAUGAAUAAGGAUCGGCUAACUCCGUG